AAAAAAUCGUUUGAGACGCCACUAGUUCUAGAGCCAUGAAAUCCAAUAUAGAGUCCAUUCCAGAGAGAAACACGAUCAUGAAGGGGUUCACCAUCGUCAUUGGUGCUCCUCCGAUGAUGCGUGAGUAGUUCAUAUCAGAUCUACGGGUCCGUAGGUAGUAGCUAGAUGGCAUUCUCUCCGGUUUGUUUCUCAACACAAUGGUCUCUGGGAGAUCCAUACUAUGUAACUCUUUCUUUUGCGGUGUGUUUGUUGGGAUCCAAUGAAUUGUGCGUUUAUGAUCAGAUCUACGAAAAAAUAUUCAUGCUUGAUUAUUAAAGGCAAGUAUUUCUUCUCCAAUAUUUGGUUUUUAUCUGGCCAACUUGAUCUUUUAUCUUGCAAUGGGAAGAGGUGUUGUGUGAUGGGUUCGAUCUUGCG
rnacentral:lncRNA from 1 species